ensembl:lncRNA
CGAGGUGACUCUACAGGGCAGCUUUGUGAUCAGAUGGAACAGCGUUGUCGUUCAGUGCGUUUUGGUUAAUGAAAACUUGGAAAAGGUUGAAGCGAGAAGAGCUGCUGCAUCAGAGCGUGGUUAAAUUGGACCGUUUUGCUUUUCAGGGAUUUAUGCAAACACUUGUCUAUUUAAUGACAUCUUAUUUAAGGACGUGCAUCAAGCAUUCUGCUUUGAUCUGUGGCUUUCACAACAUUCAGCAAAUGCCACAGGGAAGCCAAUGAAUGGCGCUUUUCUCAGUUGGUUUCGUGUCUUACCACACAUCCACACAGCUCUGAUGGGAAACUGUAAACGAACCUGCAUUUGCUCAAAAAAAAAAGGUCACUUGGAAAGCUUUGAAGCGCCUUUUGACAAACCUGUCCUGAAUCUCAAGCAGCUGACAACGUUUGAGAUGGGCUGAGAGUCUCUGCGUUCGGGUUGGACCGUGAACCUUUCAUACACUUCCAUUGCACGCAGUUCCCCGUCACAAACUGUGACCUGGAGUUUACAUCCCAGGCUGUGACUGUGUCUGCAGGUGUACAUCAGGACACAGGAAAAGGCUGGGAGCAUCGUUUAUGGGUUUUGUUCAGCGUAACAUCAAGUUUCAGGCCUCUGCUGUCCUAAGGGAACUGGGAAAUAUUCCCAGCUUUAUGUAAUGAAGAGCAUCUUACUGUCUCCCAGCUUGUGUGCCGUAGGUUGGUAAGGUGAGGUCGGCUGGGAGCUUGGUUAAGCAGGAGUUUGGAACAGUUGGUUAAUGCGCCAGAUCGUGCAGAUUUACCAGGUGUAUAUACUGUCAUUUCCACAGGCCUUUAUUUCUCCACGGAAAGAAGUUUCAGGAGAAACGAAUCAAGAAGAAACCCAGAUGAAAAACAUAGUUUAUCACCCAAGGUCAUCAUUCCACAGCCGUGUGCGGGGACACUGGAGCAGUGCGGGCGCUGCAUGGGACAGACAGCCCUCCAAAGCACUGGUGUGCCCGGAGCUGUGUGUUGUAUUGCAGAAGGAAGCUGAGGCAUCAGGACUGCACACAGCUUCUUUCCCAGCACCAGCUAAGGAGAAAGUCUUGGACGUGGAUCCCAUAUGACCUCAGGAGAAACUUUUCCAUAGCUUCCAGCUUUGGCCCUCAGUGUGCAGGAUUUCCCUGUGGAGCAGUACUGCUUGUAAACUGACAUCUUUAUUAAGAUGAAAUGAGCAAGCUCAAAGGAAAAUUGGUCGUGAUCACAAAGGAUUGCUGGAGCAGGGUUAGCCUGAUUGCAAUCAAUAGAACAGUGCCUGAGCAAUUUUUGAUCAAAGAACACCUGUGGGCUGUGGUCCGUAAUGGUCUUCAGCUGUUGCCUGCCUCAGUCCACCUCAUAGCUACACCUUAGAGACAACUGCCUUCUGCCUCUAUCUGUGUUGUGGAGCUCUGCAGCCCAGAAUGUCUGCUCUUCAGCACGUUCAGGUUUGUUUUUACAUUUCUACAUUUAAAAUGUGGCAAAUUACUCUUUCCCAAUGAGUAUUGUGUUUCAUUAUAGCUAUCAUCGAAACUCCAUUCCCUUAAGGUCAGGUGAUAUCAAUACUAGCAGAACCCUCUGCCUUCGUUCUGGUGCUUUCACUUCCUCUUCUCUGCUAAUGACCUAGGGACAUGUUUUGUUGUCACUGACAGGUGGGCAUUCAGGGGGCUCACCUGGAUUUUGCUUUUAAGAACAGAGUUUUGCAGGCAUGCUUGCUUGUUUGUUUGUUUAAAAUGCAGUUCUUUCUUCUUUGAGUACAAAUAGAAGGAAGGGCCUGAGCUUUCAAGAUACCAAAGACGUUUUGCCACGCAGUGAAUUCUGUUGAUUGUCAGGUUACCUGCUGAAAACGUCAUGGCAUCAAUCUCAGAACAGUGCAGAAUGCCCUGAGGUGCCUGUUGGCUUUGUCUGCUGUUGUUACUCAUCCUCUGCUACACACACAAGCUUAUUAAAACACAGUGAGACUGUGAUUGUGUUUGCUGUCUUCUUGUUUAUUUCCCUUCCCUUCUAUCUGGGCUCUUACCCUUCACCUACCAGCUUUCAGUGGCAGCUAGUUAUGUUCUUUUCCUCUGUCGUGCGUGUUUAUUUUAUGACACGCAUGAGCUAACCGAUAGAAGGAAGCCAGGCCAGGACUGCCCUGCUGGAGAUCAGCUUUUUGCACAGUUCUCUGGCACGUGCCCCUCACUUCUGGUCAGCGAUAGCGUACUGAAAAAGUCAAUAGCAGACAAAUAAGCAGACACGAUGUCAUCCUUGCAGAUAGGGAGGACUUAGAGGCAGCCAGCAGAUCCUGUAUGUGUUUUGAGAAUGUUUCUGGAGACAGAGCUACGAUCCAAGAAUGUGCAAAUAGCUGCCCAUCCCAGUCUUACGUGCCUGCAAUUAAGGAGAAGUGCAAAACCAUCUCCAGCCUUGAGCAGCAUACCAAAUCUUAAAGGUGCGCCUUGCUCUAUUGAACCGGUUGGGGAAUUUUUCUUGAGGAGUGAAGAACGAACUACUUGAUUGGAAUCUCCUCCUCAGUUUAUCUCUGCCAGAGACUAAAAUAGAGCUGGUGGGUGAGACCUGGUAGGCUGUCCGGUGAAAGGUUGCGUGCAUUACUCCAGGUCCUUGUGGAGAUUCAGGACAGAGGAGCCCAUCAGUGCAUGCGGACCCACUGGGAGGGCAGAUCUCUUUGAGUCAGCCAGGAAGCACGUCGAGGUCUGCUGCCCGCUGUUUUCCCACAGACCAGUGUCCUCAGGAAGCACAAGGUUAGCAGGGCUAUCAGCACACUACUUUGGUGUGGAGACUUUUUUUACGAUUGUUAACAUUUCGUUUCCUGUUGUUGUACAGAAAUUAUGACUCUGAGUGUCAAUGUUGAGAUGAAAGCAGAAACCCUUUUGCAUGGGGCAAACACUAAAAGCUAGCUGUUAUGUUAUUCAUUUAAGAAUAUAUUUUUAAAAAAAUCGUGCUGACAGGCAGCUAUUUGCUUUGGGGGAUGUUUGUUCAUUGAUGUUUUUCAUAGAAUCAUAGAAUUGUUUGAGUUGGAAGGGACCCCUAAACAUCACCUUGCCCAGCUCGCCUGCAUUGUGCUGGGACGCCUACAGAUCAGUCAGGUGUUCAGAGCCCCACUCAGUCUUCCCUUGAAUGUCUCCAGGGAUGGGACAUCCACCUCCUCUCUGGGCAGCCUGUGCCAGUGCCUCACCACCAUUACUGAGAAGAAACUUUGUCCAAUCUAAAUCUCCCCUCUUUUCAUUUGAAACCAUUUCUCCUUGUUCUGUCACAACAGAUCCUGAUAAAGAAUCUGUGCCCUUCUUUCUUACAGUCCCCCUUUAGAUAGAGAAAGGCCUCUCUCGGGUCUCCCUGGAGCCUUCUCAGAGCUCACCAGCCCCAGCUCUCAGCCUGUCCUUUCAGGGAAGGUGUUCUAUCCCUUGGGUUGUUUCUGGGGCCCUCCUCUGUUCCCACUCUAACAGGUCUAUGUGUCUCCUGUACUCCUCUGCAUCAUUUAGUACUCAGCAGUCUACAUACUUAUCGCUGUCUUAUCUUGCUGUGUAACUGAGGUCUGAUUCUGAAAAUGCCCACAGACCCAAUUUUUAGUGAGAUUAUUUGGGGAAAAAUGGCAGACGACGCUGGUCUUUCAUGUGAGAAGUGUGUAAUAACUGAAUGAUGUUCAUCAACAGCUGCGAGAAGAGAGCCUCUGGUUGGAAGGAGUGGGCUUUCAGGAUGCACCCGUACCAUUUUUUUUCUUAACAGUGCCAUGUCAAAAUAAAAAUCAGUGAUUAAAAGCGUGCCUUACUUGUGCUGCUAAAAACACUUUUAGAUUGUACACACUGUAAACAGUAAAUAUUUAAUGUACACGUUUACUUUUCCUGGUUCAUGCCGAGCUCACAGGGCCUGACAGAGAAGCUAGACAGAUGUGUUUAUAGUGAGCUCCCCGGGCUGGCACAAUGCUGCAGUGUUUGGCUGCGAGCACCACAGGGAGAUGUUG